GGCAACUUUAAUAGAAUCUAAGUGCUUCUUCACCGGAUUGCAAGCCAACUUUUAAAUCCAAUCAGUGGAGCAUAUCUGAGAGAGAGAGAGAGAGAGAGAGAGAGAGAGAGAGAGAGAGAGAGAGAGAGAGAGAGAGAGAGAGAGAGAGAGAGAGAGAGAGAGAGAGAGAGAAUUCCGAGCCAAAUUCUAGGCUUGCAGAACAGGACCCUGCGAUCUCAGCUUUUAACAAGCCGCGUCAACCAGUUUCCACGCCACACAUGACCACGCACAAACACACACAAAUUGAUAUCCUAUCCUUGUCCUCAAAAACGCAAACAGAGAGAGACCAUGAAAGAAAAUCAAAUACUUUAUAUAACAUACAUGUAUCUGAUAUCAUUGUAAGAUGGUGGUUUAAUGAACGCUCGUUUUGUUUAUUUAUCCACAUUUAUAUUGAAUUAUUGCAUACUUAUAAUCGUAACUGUUGACAAAUUCCAAAUGUAACAAGUGAAAUAAAUGUCUGCGGUGCAUUGCCUCUGAGCCCGCACAGUCGGAGAGCGACUAUGACAGCUCUGACAGCUGUAGCUCAUCAUUUUAAUGAGUCUCGCUGGGCAAGCUCGCCGUCAGUCUGGAGACCGACGCACACACACAGCAGCACGUAUCAAAUGUAGACGAGGCGUGCUGCGCCAUGUGCACGUUACAUGUGCUCAGUCCCAGGGCAUGUGUUGGACUGUACGUCAGACUCUUCCUGCAUGCUGUGCAGGAGAGACCGAGAUAAAGAAAAAGAGAGAUUGCAGCUACGUUACAGUGAGUCAUGCCUACGGACUACGGAGAGAUGGCUCUUUUGAAUCGAACCGAUGAGAGACGGAGACAGGGCAGCCCCGGCCAUGGUGUACUGGAAUGAUAAGACGAUUAAGUAGUCAAACAGGCUGCUGCAGGAGACAGCUAUGGAGGGAAAACUGAUACGGCAAGAGGAUUGGCGUUCUCUGAGGGCGAAAAGAACCGCACAACACUAAAACUCUUGUCUGGCAGAGCUUUUUAUCUGUAUUUUUGGCCAAAGCAGGACAUUUGCUGACAAGUGCAACCGAGGGUGGCUGGUGUGAUCUGGUGCACCUCCUCCCUGGGCCAACAUAAACACCGUGAUGCUGAAUCAUUCCCACGUCUGUGUGUCUGUCGGACCUGCUGCUUCCCAUACCUCCGGCUCUUUGGCAACUGGAAGACUUUAUUCAACAGGCUCAACCCUUUUUCCUGAGGUUCACAAUAUUUAAAAAACACACCCUGCUGUUUCUCUGCAUGACGAUAAAAAACGUUAGGGGUUCCCUUACUGAAUAACAAAUCCAAAAAAAGACUCCCCAAAAUGACAUUGAAUUGGUAAUCAUAUACAUACACUAUGACAAGUGAUUAGAAUAUGUGAAUAUACUUCUAUUCUAUUUUGCCCAUAGAACCAUUACACCAAGGCAAUAAAAACACGAAACACA